rnacentral:rRNA from 1 species
GUAGUCUCGCACAGAUGCAUAUCAAUAAGCGGAGGAAAAGAAACUAACAAGGAUUCCCUCAGUAACGGCGAGUGAAGCGGGAAGAGCUCAAAUUUGAAAUCUUGAAAGGUCACCCUUCACGAAUUGUAGUUUAAAGAAGUGUUUUCUGUUACGAUCGUAAUAUAAGUUCUUUGGAAUAGGACAUCACAGAGGGUGAGAAUCCCGUCUAUGAUUGCGAUUUGUAGCUUUGUGAUACACUUUCAAAGAGUCGGAUUGUUUGGGAAUGCAGUCCCAAAAUGGGUAGGUAAAUUUCAUCUAAGGCUAAAUAUUGGCGAGAGACCGAUAGCGAACUAGUACCGUGAGGGAAAGAUGAAAAGAACUUUGAAAAGAGAGUUAAACUAGUACGUGAAAUUGUCAAAAGGGAAGCGCUUUAACACCAGUGUUGUUUUCUGAAAAUCAACCUCUGUUAGCUUUAUGCAUGUUUGUUUAGACCUAAUCAGCUAUCUUGCAUGUUCUAUUGUUUGCAGUGGUGCACUUUUCAGUUUACAGGUCAACAUCAGUUUUUUUUACCGUAAAAAAGUUAAAGAAAGGUAGCUCAUGGCUCCGGUCGUGAGUGUUAUAGUCUUUUUCCUAUGCGGUAGGAGAGACUGAGGUCUGCAGUGUAGGCUAUUUGGCUAGAUACUCAGGUGCUAUGUGAUACCAUUUCAUAAACAACUUGUUGAUUAUGUUUUGUCUAUUGCAUACUCGCUUAUGCUAUCAUACCUACGCUUAGGAUGUUGAGUCGUAGAGCACGCAG